GAUGAACGCUGGCGGCGUGCCUAAUACAUGCAAGUCGAGCGAACAGACGAGGAGCUUGCUCCUCUGACGUUAGCGGCGGACGGGUGAGUAACACGUGGAUAACCUACCUAUAAGACUGGGAUAACUUCGGGAAACCGGAGCUAAUACCGGAUAACAUGUUGAACCGCAUGGUUCAACAGUGAAAGACGGUCUUGCUGUCACUUAUCGAUGGAUCCGCGCCGCAUUAGCUAGUUGGUAAGGUAACGGCUUACCAAGGCAACGAUGCGUAGCCGACCUGAGAGGGUGAUCGGCCACACUGGAACUGAGACACGGUCCAGACUCCUACGGGAGGCAGCAGUAGGGAAUCUGCCGCAAUGGGCGAAAGCCUGACGGAGCAACGCCGCGUGAGUGAAGAAGGUCUUCGGAUCGUAAAACUCUGUUAUUAGGGAAGAACAAAUGUGUAAGUAACUAUGCACGUCUUGACGGUACCUAAUCAGAAAGCCACGGCUAACUACGUG
rnacentral:rRNA from 1 species